rnacentral:rRNA from 1 species
AGUCGUAACAAGGUCUCCGUUGGUGAACCAGCGGAGGGAUCAUUACCGAGUUUACAACUCCCAAACCCCUGUGAACAUACCACUUGUUGCCUCGGCGGAUCAGCCCGCUCCCGGUAAAACGGGACGGCCCGCCAGAGGACCCCUAAACUCUGUUUCUAUAUGUAACUUCUGAGUAAAACCAUAAAUAAAUCAAAACUUUCAACAACGGAUCUCUUGGUUCUGGCAUCGAUGAAGAACGCAGCAAAAUGCGAUAAGUAAUGUGAAUUGCAGAAUUCAGUGAAUCAUCGAAUCUUUGAACGCACAUUGCGCCCGCCAGUAUUCUGGCGGGCAUGCCUGUUCGAGCGUCAUUUCAACCCUCAAGCACAGCUUGGUGUUGGGACUCGCGUUAAUUCGCGUUCCUCAAAUUGAUUGGCGGUCACGUCGAGCUUCCAUAGCGUAGUAGUAAAACCCUCGUUACUGGUAAUCGUCGCGGCCACGCCGUUAAACCCCCAACUUCUGAAUGUUGACCUCGGAUCAGGUAGGAAUACCCGCUGAACUUAGC